rfam:Gorilla gorilla gorilla genomic chromosome, chr5, whole genome shotgun sequence
GCCAGGUGUGGUGGCUCACACCUGUAAUCCCAGCACUUUGGGAGGCGGAGGCAGGCGGAUCACCUGAGGUCAGGAGUUCAAGACCAGCCUGGCCAACAUGGUGAAACCCUGUCUCUA